UGGGGAAUACUGCACAAUGGGCGCAAGCCUGAUGCAGCCAUGCCGCGUGUAUGAAGAAGGCCUUCGGGUUGUAAAGUACUUUCAGUCGGGAGGAAGGUGGUAAGGUUAAUAACCUUAUCAAUUGACGUUACCGACAGAAGAAGCACCGGCUAACUCCGUGCCAGCAGCCGCGGUAAUACGGAGGGUGCAAGCGUUAAUCGGAAUUACUGGGCGUAAAGCGCACGCAGGCGGUUUGUUAAGUCAGAUGUGAAAUCCCCGGGCUCAACCUGGGAACUGCAUCUGAUACUGGCAAGCUUGAGUCUCGUAGAGGGGGGUAGAAUUCCAGGUGUAGCGGUGAAAUGCGUAGAGAUCUGGAGGAAUACCGGUGGCGAAGGCGGCCCCCUGGACGAAGACUGACGCUCAGGUGCGAAAGCGUGGGGAGCAAACAGG
rnacentral:rRNA from 1 species